rnacentral:rRNA from 1 species
AUAAUGGGUCAGCGACUUAUAUUCUGUAGCAAGGUUAACCGAAUAGGGGAGCCGAAGGGAAACCGAGUCUUAACUGGGCGUUAAGUUGCAGGGUAUAGACCCGAAACCCGGUGAUCUAGCCAUGGGCAGGUUGAAGGUUGGGUAACACUAACUGGAGGACCGAACCGACUAAUGUUGAAAAAUUAGCGGAUGACUUGUGGCUGGGGGUGAAAGGCCAAUCAAACCGGGAGAUAGCUGGUUCUCCCCGAAAGCUAUUUAGGUAGCGCCUCGUGAAUUCAUCUCCGGGGGUAGAGCACUGUUUCGGCAAGGGGGUCAUCCCGACUUACCAACCCGAUGCAAACUGCGAAUACCGGAGAAUGUUAUCACGGGAGACACACGGCGGGUGCUAACGUCCGUCGUGAAGAGGGAAACAACCCAGACCGCCAGCUAAGGUCCCAAAGUCAUGGUUAAGUGGGAAACGAUGUGGGAAGGCCCAGACAGCCAGGAUGUUGGCUUAGAAGCAGCCAUCAUUUAAAGAAAGCGUAAUAGCUCACUGGUCGAGUCGGCCUGCGCGGAAGAUGUAACGGGGCUAAACCAUGCACCGAAGCUGCGGCAGCGACGCUGAUGCGUUGUUGGGUAGGGGAGCGUUCUGUAAGCCUGUGAAGGUGUGCUGUGAGGCAUGCUGGAGGUAUCAGAAGUGCGAAUGCUGACAUAAGUAACGAUAAAGCGGGUGAAAAGCCCGCUCGCCGGAAGACCAAGGGUUCCUGUCCAACGUUAAUCGGGGCAGGGUGAGUCGACCCCUAAGGCGAGGCCGAAAGGCGUAGUCGAUGGGAAACAGGUUAAUAUUCCUGUACUUGGUGUUACUGCGAAGGGGGGACGGAGAAGGCUAUGUUGGCCGGGCGACGGUUGUCCCGGUUUAAGCGUGUAGGCUGGUUUUCCAGGCAAAUCCGGAAAAUCAAGGCUGAGGCGUGAUGACGAGGCACUACGGUGCUGAAGCAACAAAUGCCCUGCUUCCAGGAAAAGCCUCUAAGCAUCAGGUAACAUCAAAUCGUACCCCAAACCGACACAGGUGGUCAGGUAGAGAAUACCAAGGCGCUUGAGAGAACUCGGGUGAAGGAACUAGGCAAAAUGGUGCCGUAACUUCGGGAGAAGGCACGCUGAUAUGUAGGUGAAGUCCCUCGCGGAUGGAGCUGAAAUCAGUCGAAGAUACCAGCUGGCUGCAACUGUUUAUUAAAAACACAGCACUGUGCAAACACGAAAGUGGACGUAUACGGUGUGACGCCUGCCCGGUGCCGGAAGGUUA